CACAACCUCUCGAUCCCCACUUAGGCUAAAUCUCUUCUGCACGCGCCGAUUCUUAUUUUUUUCUUUUUCUUUUCUCCUUUGCCGGCCAGCACUCCCAGCUGUGGAAGUUCCUGUACCUGACUCGUAACGCUUUUCCUCUGGGUGGAUGUCCCUGGUCAGUAGCCAUGAGAAGCAGCUCUCCCCUGUGGAGGUCACCGUCAAUGGCUUCUUCCCUGGGUGGACGUCCCGAGCCAGUGACUCCGUCAGGGCACCACCUGUCCAGCCUAUGAGCUUGCGCCUGACUGAGUGAUGAGGAUGAAAACAAAGAGACACAGAAUCAAAGACGCCAGGUGCCUCAUGUAUCCCCUGCCCAGACCAGACCGUGUGCAGCCAAGCCCCAGGUGAAGGCCUCACCAGAACUCAUCACAGUACUUCUGCACUGGUGUCUCUGCUGAGGUAUAAAACCAUGCUGCCC
rnacentral:lncRNA from 1 species